rnacentral:tRNA from 5 species
CGGGCUGUAGCUCAAUAGGCUAGAGUACUUGGUUUGGGACCAAGGGGUUGUGGGUUCGAGUCCCGCCAGCCCGACCA